rnacentral:rRNA from 1 species
UGCGGGAUAUUGGUCAAUGGACGCAAGUCUGAACCAGCCAUGCCGCGUGCAGGAAGACGGCUCUAUGAGUUGUAAACUGCUUUUGUACUAGGGUAAACGCUCUUACGUGUAGGAGCCUGAAAGUAUAGUACGAAUAGGAUCGGCUAACUCCGUGCCAGCAGGCGCGGUAAAAAGGAGGAACCAAGCGUUAUCCGGAUUUACUGGGCGUAAAGCGUGUGCAGGUGGUUUGGUAAGUUGGAUGUGAAAACUCCUGGCUUAACUGGGAGAGGUCGUUCAAUACUGCCAGACUUGAGAGUGAGAGAGGGAGGUGGAAUUCCGGGUGUAGUGGUGAAAUGCGUCGAUAUCCGGAGGAACACCAGUGGCGAAAGCGGCCUCCUGGCUCAUUUCUGACACUCAUACACGAAAGCUAGGGUAGCAAACG